GGGGGUAAAACUCAGUGGUAGAGCAUGUGCUUAGCAUGUGCAAGGUCCUGGGUUCAAGCCUGGUAACUCCA
rnacentral:tRNA from 1 species